CUAAACCUAACCCAGUAACCCCCAUUCGGCAAUUCCCCCAAGCCCCACUUCCAAACGAACCCUAGCCCCUCUCUCCCUGCUCCAUAGGUCUCACAGCCUCGCUCUCUGCAACUCCCAUCGCCGGUGAGAGACCUCCUCCCACCACCUCGCAGCCACCGCCACAUUCCUCCCAGCGCAGCCCUUCCACUGCUCCCACCCAGGACCUCCUCGCGGACAGAGCAGCCCAGCACUGCAGCACACAGCCAGCGCCCAGCGCCCAGCAGGUCGGCACCACCCUUGCAAGUCGCACCCACCACCACCCUCAAUCCCUCGCAACUCGCAAAUCGCACCCAGCAAGCCAGGACCACCCACUCACCCAGGACCACCCAGCGGACACAGAGCACCGUAUCAAGUUAGAUAUGGAGCCCGAGCCACCGAGUUAGGUAUAAAGGUGGACCAUCAUUACCAAGGAAGUUGAUCUUGCAGGGUGCUACACAGAAGCAAUAUAGUGUUGAGGUUUACCCACUCAUUUUGAAGUUGACUGAUGCCAGAGAUAAGAGUGUGUCAACUGUAAAAUUAAGCAAAAAGAACGCAUAGAAGAUAGAAGAGAACUCGAACGCAGCUUGGAGGAAGCACCGAAGCAGCCAUCUCUCGUCGCCAUUCCUCAAUGUCCAGCCACCGCUGCUGCUACAGCUUCGGCGCAACAUCGCCCUUGUUCGCCGCGCAUCCGCCUCCUUUUUGGCCAAGCUUCUGCGUCUGUUUUUUGGCCAACCCUUGUUCGAGCUGCUUAGCCCUCUGCUCAGUCCUCUACGCCGCGUGUUCGAGCCUCUGUUCAGCCUCUGUUCCGCGGCCUUUCAGCCACCGUUCGCCAUUGUCUGCCUCCAUUCAGCCAUCUCCGUCGCGAUUUAAAGCUCCUCCCUUUCCCUGUACUGUUUGAAUUUCAGAACUGCUCCAUCCUAAGUCGUAG